rfam:Pteropus alecto contig106322, whole genome shotgun sequence.
CACUGUGUGGUGCCCUACUUAGAAAGGUGCAGAUUGCUUAAACUAAGUGUAAUUUGUGCCUUUCUGAGUAGAGUAACACUCAGUAA